AUUGAACGCUGGCGGCAUGCUUUACACAUGCAAGUCGAACGGUAACAGGCCGCAAGGUGCUGACGAGUGGCGAACGGGUGAGUAAUGCAUCGGAACGUGCCCAGUCGUGGGGGAUAACGCAGCGAAAGCUGCGCUAAUACCGCAUACGAUCUAUGGAUGAAAGCGGGGGACCGUAAGGCCUCGCGCGAUUGGAGCGGCCGAUGUCAGAUUAGGUAGUUGGUGGGGUAAAGGCUCACCAAGCCAACGAUCUGUAGCUGGUCUGAGAGGACGACCAGCCACACUGGGACUGAGACACGGCCCAGACUCCUACGGGAGGCAGCAGUUGGGAAUUUUGGACAAUGGGCGCAAGCCUGAUCCAGCAAUGCCGCGUGCAGGAAGAAGGCCUUCGGGUUGUAAACUGCUUUUGUACGGAACGAAACGGUCCGGGUUAAUACCCUGGGCUAAUGACGGUACCGUAAGAAUAAGCACCGGCUAACUACGUGCCAGCCGCCGCCGUAACAC
rnacentral:rRNA from 1 species